CCCUGGGUCGGGAGGUACCGGGGAUGUUACUGCUGCUACUGUUACUUAGGGACAUCUGAGAACCCAGGGUUAAUGGCAGCCUAAGCUUCUAAGGGCUUCCAGGUGCUUUCCGAGUUAAGCAGUGCUUCUCAAAAGGAAAUCUGGGGCUCAGGAAACAAACACCUAAGUGCCCCACACCUUCCAUGUCUCUCUCCUGUGGGAAGAAGGGUAUACGAACUUUGCAUUUCGGUGGGUCACAGCAUCCUUGUUUUUCAUCUAUGCGAUGCCCCAUGCUGGUGCAGAUGUGGACUGAGCCUCAUGAGUGUCAGAAACUAGGAGCAGAGACAACUUGAGAGACCAGUGAUUCGGGCCAUUAUCUCCACCUCCAUCAGCCAAGGAUCCAGAGCAGCUCUUCUAAGAGAUGGCCUCAACAGGUUUAACAGGAUCAUAUUCUCUGUGGCUUUUCCCUCCACCAGGCCACUCCGAGUACAGUGGAUUCAAGGACACACAGUGACUGGAGGAGCAAUACCUUAGUCCGGCAGGGAGGAUACACGGAAAAUUUGGCUUGCUAAGAAAGACGGGAUCCAGUGACUAGAAGUGAUGUUUAUAGGAGAUGUGUUUGUCCUUGGAAGACUUCCUUGAGGAAGAAGCAGUCUAUAAACACACCAGCAAGCAAGCUGACCCACAGGUCACAUAAAGAGAGGCUCAGACCAAAGUAACAUGCUGAAAAUGUUUCGUUCAUCUAUUUCUUCUUUUUCAGUGUUGUUGGUCAAACCCAAGGCCUGGUGCUGUACUACGGUUACAUGGAGCCCUUCAAAUUAAUUUGAAAGACACAGUGAGAAGCCAGAAGGGACACAUGAGGGAGGACACAGACCCAAUGUGAGUGGGGUGGAGGAACCGAACCCUCCGAUUCUCACAUACAGGUUUUGGGAUUCUCUUUCCUAAUAUACAUGCAUCAUCAUGGAAGGUGAGUUACCUAGGUGAGAGGUGAAGGCUGAGUAACAAGGAUUCACAAUGGUUUGCUUUACCAGAGAAACAUCAGGGUAAGUUCGCUGAUCAACAGCUCUGGUUUUCCAGUUAGCCUGAUGAGCAGCCAUGGCUUUAGGUUAGAUUUCUUGGGCAAGCAGGCAUAUACUAUCGGAAGGGGCAACACUAAUGAGUGGCCCACUGACAAUCUCAUGACCACUGAGCUUCGGGUUUAUGAAUAUCUGCUGACUCUUGGUUCCUCACUCUUUCUAUGAACAGCAAUUCAUACUAACUUCCUUUUCAUUACUGCUUUGUGAAUUUUCUUUGACUCAUGAGCUGCUUACUCAUUACUUGUAUUUUACACGUCUUAUGAAUUUCAUCUAUUUUUGCUUGUUUUCUUGAGCAGAAUUGACUAUGUUCUCAACAAAUACAGCAAGUACACAUCACAGUAGAAAUGGUGUGUGUUUAUUUAUUUAAGUUCUAGAAGGCUUGCUUCA